CACCGGUACGUGGAGCGGCUGCUGGCGUUCGUGGCCGCCGAGCUGGAGACCACCCGCCACCUGGAGUUCUACACGCUGUGGGCGCACAGUCUGACGCAGCAGCACGCCGGCUGGCUGCGCAGCCACGUACUCAGUGUGACGCCGCUGCUCCGGCAGCUGCAGAAGGCGCUCACCGCCAAACAGAAGUCGCUGGGCCAAAUCUGUGAUCACAACAAGUACCUGCUGCGGUACCUGAGCACGCUGGGUCAGCUGCGGUCGGCGGCGCCGCCCCUGAAGCGGCCCGCUGGGGAGGGCCACGCCCAGGACUCGGCCGAGUCCGGGCCCGAGUCCGACCACGUGUCCGACGAUGAGGAGGUGGCCAUGGUGGCUGUGAGAAAUACAUGAUACUUCGCUAUGCU